GUCCCGUUCUUCUCUUCCUAAAUCCAACCAUCCAAUUCUUGUUUUCCUAAACCCAGCCGUCCCAUUCUUCUGGUCCUAAACCCAGCCGUCCCAUUCUUCUUUCCUAAACCCAGCCGUCCCAUUCUUCUUUUCCUAAACCCAGCCGUCCCAUUCUUCUUUUCCUAAACCCAGCCGUCCUAUUCUUCUUUCCUAAACCCAGCCAUCCCAUUCUUCUUUUCCUAAACCCAGCCUUCCCAUUCUUCUUUUCCUAAACCCAGCCCAGUCCUUCUCUUUCCUAAACCCAGCCGUCCCAUUCUUCUUUUCCUAAACCCAGCCGUCCUAUUCUUCUUUCCUAAACCCAGCCAUCCCAUUCUUCUUUUCCUAAACCCAGCCUUCCCAUUCUUCUUUUCCUAAACCCAGCCCCGUCCCAUUCUUCUUUUCCUAAACCCAGCCGUCCCAUUCUUCUUUUCCUAAACCCAACCGUCUCAUUCUUGUCCCCCGUGUCAUGGAAACGUUAGCCCGAAACCUAACUGCGUCAAAAGUGACGCCAAUAGUCCCGACCAAGCCCGUUUGAUAAAAUGCGUUUUGAUAUGAUGCUACAGGAGACUUU